UUGCAAUGUAGCAAGGGAGUUAUAUAUGCUUAACAUUUUCUUGGUUUGGUCCAGAGAAAAAUUAUAUGCAUGCAAAGGAAUGCUGUCUUGAUGUGGAUGGGAAUCUUGUUUUUGCCUUUUUUCUCUUUACCUUCUUUAUAUGUCAUCUGCUGAACACACACACAUGCAGAUUUUACAGAGUGUGCAUUUUUUUCCAUGGGAAAGUCACUUUUGAUUUCCUGCCCUGUGACUCGGAGGUGAUGCAUCAUGAGAGUUGCUGGUCGUCUCACCCAGGACAGACAUUGCCUGACCCAGAGCCUGGGCAACAGAGGAGAAAGGGGGCACGAGCUGCACAGCCUACAGCAGCCAUAACAUAACCCAAAUGUGAUAUGGACACAGUUGGUUUUCAAGCAUGGCACUGGUUGAAACUAGCAGUCCUUACAACCAAGAUGGGGACAAGCAAAGCUAAUAUGUCUGCAGUGACACCACAGGGAGGAAAGGCAGUAGCAGAUCCCCUCUCAGCACUGACUCACCCUUCCAUCUUUGAACUACUAAUACACAGCCAAAGAGAGUCAAGAGGUCUCUAAUGACUUUCUAAUCACAUCAGUCAUUUACCCUGAGUGAAUGGAAGCAAAUCUGAAAUGAAACUUGGCACAAGACUAGGCAGACCAGAAUUUUGUACGUAACUAUUCAAAAAAAAUUGU